GACGAACGCUGGCGGCGUGCUUAACACAUGCAAGUCGAACGGAAAGGCCCUGCUUUUGUGGGGUGCUCGAGUGGCGAACGGGUGAGUAACACGUGAGUAACCUGCCCUUGACUUUGGGAUAACUUCAGGAAACUGGGGCUAAUACCGGAUAGGAGCUCCUGCUGCAUGGUGGGGGUUGGAAAGUUUCGGCGGUUGGGGAUGGACUCGCGGCUUAUCAGCUUGUUGGUGGGGUAGUGGCUUACCAAGGCUUUGACGGGUAGCCGGCCUGAGAGGGUGACCGGCCACAUGGGGACUGCGAUACGGCCCAGACUCCUACGUGAGGCAGCAGUGGGGAAUAUUGCACAAUGGGCGGAAGCCUGAUGCAGCGGCGCCGCGUGCGGGAUGACGUCCUUCUGGUUGUAAACCGCUUUCGCCUGUGACGAAGCGUGAGUGACGGUAAUGGGUAAAGAAGCACCGGCUAACUACGUG
rnacentral:rRNA from 1 species